rnacentral:rRNA from 1 species
UAGAUGAGCCUAAGUCAGAUUAGCUAGUUGGUGGGGUAAAGGCCUACCAAGGCGACGAUCUGUAGCGGUUCUGAGAGGAUGAUCCGCCACACUGGGACUGAGACACGGCCCAGACUCCUACGGGAGGCAGCAGUGGGGAAUAUUGGACAAUGGGCGCAAGCCUGAUCCAGCCAUGCCGCGUGUGUGAAGAAGGCCUUUUGGUUGUAAAGCACUUUAAGCGAGGAGGAGGCUACUUGGAUUAAUACUCUAGGAUAGUGGACGUUACUCGCAGAAUAAGCACCGGCUAACUCUGUGCCAGCAGCCGCGGUAAUACAGAGGGUGCGAGCGUUAAUCGGAUUUACUGGGCGUAAAGCGUGCGUAGGCGGCUUCUUAAGUCGGAUGUGAAAUCCCUGAGCUUAACUUAGGAAUUGCAUUCGAUACUGGGAAGCUAGAGUAUGGGAGAGGAUGGUAGAAUUCCAGGUGUAGCGGUGAAAUGCGUAGAGAUCUGGAGGAAUACCGAUGGCGAAGGCAGCCAUCUGGCCUAAUA